CGGCGAACAUAUGAAAGUGGUCACACCUGUUCCCUUCCCGAACACAGAAGUUAAGCACUUUCAGCCGAUGAUAGUACUGCAAGUGCGAAAGUAGGUAUUGCC
rnacentral:rRNA from 1 species